rnacentral:misc_RNA from 1 species
UGCAAUUAUUGAGGGCAAAUGAACGAUUUUAGGAUUAAUGAUGUUUUUACCUGUAAGAUUUAUAUCCUAGCAUUGAUCAAUGGAUAGUGUGAUUUAAUUUUUGAAAAAUUAUUUAGUGAAAAGUUCAAUAAUAGUAUUGACAUAGUAAAGUUAAAAAUAUAUAUUAAUUUAUGUUGUAUAAACGAUUGGCAAAUUAGAGACGGAAGAUAAAAAUAUGGUCAAAGUAAUAAAGAGUCUAUGGUGGAUGCCUAGGAGCUUUAAGGCGAAGAAGGUCGUGGUAAGCUGCGAAAAGCUUGGGGGAGAAGCAAACAUUUUAUGAUCCCGAGGUCACCGAAUGGAGUAAUCCAAUUAGUUAGAUGCUAAUUAUUUACUACGUAAGUAGUAAAAGCUAACCAGGGG